UACGAAGGGGGCUAGCGUUGCUCGGAAUCACUGGGCGUAAAGGGCGCGUAGGUGGCGCGGGCAGUCAACGGUGAAAGUUCGGGGCUCAACCCUGAAUCGGCCGUCGAUACUCCCGGGCUUGAGCACUGUAGAGGCAGAUGGAAUUCCGGGUGUAGCGGUGGAAUGCGUAGAGAUCCGGAAGAACACCGGUGGCGAAGGCGGUCUGCUGGGCAGUAGCUGACACUGAGGCGCGACAGCGUGGGGGAGCAAACAGG
rnacentral:rRNA from 1 species